UUUUGGCCCUCUAAUACCGUCAUCUGAUAACUUAGACUUAGUUUGGUAUUCAUGUUCAUUUGACGCUAUUAAAUAAAAUAAAGUUAGGAUAAAAGUAUAUAGAGAUAUACUUCUGCGUUUUUCGGUAAACUGCAGAAAAUAUAUCGUAACCGACUCAUCGUGAUAUGCGGAACACAACAUUACCCAUGAAAACAAACUGGGCAUCUUUCUCACCGCACGUAAUGCAAUUUCCUGCAAUUCCAAACAAAACGUUAAGCUUUUAAAGCUUUGUUUGGUUCAGGUAUAAAUAAGAACUACUUAUUUCAAUAAUAGAUGUUUUUCGAAAAUAAGAUAAAUAGUAUUUAUAUGGUUAGAUUAGAAUAGCGGGAAUAAAAAUAAUUACAAUUUUAAAUUACAAAUAUGUUAUCCGAUUAAUUAAUAUCAAAAUAUUAAUUAAAAAUAAUUCAAUAAAGAGAAAUGCUCAAACUCCGUAUGUUGUUGUUGCUGGGGCUGAUUUGAAAAUUACGUACGGAGGUGAGGCCGCGUUCUACCGUCUACAAUUAAUGCGAGGAAGUAAAUGAUCAUCUUUGUAAUAAUAUCUCAAGUACUACUAACCGCUGGCCUCCAAUAAUAAUAGAUGUGAUAUAUUUGUAAAUUUGACGGUGUAAAAUAAUUCAAAUUUUAUGAAAUUUUUAUAGAAAAUUUUUUUCACUAUUUAGAAUAAGAUUAAUAUCUCUGAUCUUAAAUUCAAGUCUUUUAUUAUCAUUUUUUAUGAAAUUUUUAUUUUUUAUAGUUCAUUUUUAGACUACUCGUUUGAUAGAUAAAUGAUACCGAAAAAUUAUGAAUUUAGUUUUCAAAUAUUUUCAAUAGUGUAGAUCAAGUUUAAUGGAGCCGAUCGUCGAUUUGGGAGCCGCAUCAUCGAAAACAACUUGGUGGCACGGAGGCCUCCGUGCUACCGAUAGUAUACCAACCUAACU
rnacentral:lncRNA from 1 species